rnacentral:misc_RNA from 1 species
GAUGAAGAACGUAGCGAAAUGCGAUAAGUAAUGUGAAUUGCAGAAUUCAGUGAAUCAUCGAAUCUUUGAACGCACAUUGCGCCCGCCAGUAUUCUGGCGGGCAUGCCUGUUCGAGCGUCAUUACAACCCUCAGGCCCCCGGGCCUGGCGUUGGGGAUCGGCGGAAGCCCCCUGCGGGCACAACGCCGUCCCCCAAAUACAGUGGCGGUCCCGCCGCAGCUUCCAUUGCGUAGUAGCUAACACCUCGCAACUGGAGAGCGGCGCGGCCACGCCGUAAAACACCCCCCUUCUGAAUGUUGACCUCGAAUCAGGUAGGAAUACCCGCUGAACUUAAGCAUAUCAAUAAGCGGAGGA